rnacentral:rRNA from 1 species
GUCCUUUUGAUUAUAAUUUAAGGUCUGACCUGCCCACUGAAAUUAUUUUAAAUGGCCGCAGUAAUUUGACUGUGCAAAGGUAGCAUAAUCAUUAGUUUUUUAAUUAAAAGCUUGUAUGAAGGGUUGGACGAGAUAAAAUCUGUCUCUAUUUAAUUUAAUAUAAAAUUUAAUUUUUAAGUUAAAAAGCUUAAAUUUUUUUAAAAGACGAGAAGACCCUAUAGAUCUUUAUAGUUUUGAUUUUGAAUUUAAUUAAUAAAUUUUUAUGAUUUAUAAUUUAAACUAUUUUAUUGGGGUAAUAGAAAGAUUAAAAUAAUUCUUUUUUUCUUUAAACAUUUAUUUAUGUUUUUAAUGAUCCAAUUUUAUUGAUUAUAAGAUUAAGUUACCUUAGGGAUAACAGCGUAAUUUUUUUAGAGAGUUCUUAUCGAUAAAAAAGUUUGCGACCUCGAUGUUGGAUUAAAGAUUAGUUUAGGUGUAGAAGUUUAAAUUUUUGGUCUGUUCGACCAUUAAAUCUUUACAUGAUCUGAGUUCAGACCGGCGUAAGCCAGGUCGGUUUCUAUCUUUAAUAAUUUUAAAAUAUUUUAGUACGAAAGGACCAAAUAUUUAAUAUAUUUAUAUUUAAUUUUUUGAAUAUUAUU